AAUUAUUUAAUUAUCAAGCACAUUUAUAUUGGUGUUGUUUCUAUAAUUUUAAAUUUACGUAUUUAAUAACUCCGAUUUUUUAGCUUAUAUAUAGAUGAGGUCACAUCCGGCCGCCAUCUUUGUUUUGAGGUAACUUCUGAAAGCAGGUCGUAAACUUUUUGGACGGAGUAACUUUUAAUACCAGACGAACAGAAGUGACUCUACAGAUGCUUUCCAACAGCGUGAUCAAUAAAAACUUCAAAGGCUGGUGCAUCCCGCAACAUUACGAUGCAGCGUGACAGUCAGAAGGUCAGUACUUCACACA